AAGCAAGAGAGCCAACACAAGGCUACCUCAUCAAGUAUGCCACCACUCCAGGAGACAACUGGCCUCUCAGUCCCAUAGGGCCAGAUGAGAAGUCUUAAAUGAAGUUCCUCUCUGCACCAUCUGCCUGAGGGAAGAAAAAAGGAAGCGUUUUCCUGUGAGCUUCUGUCCCAUAUCAGUCAAAGGUUGGGGUGCUAACAUCCCCAAAUUCUGGGUUGCACAUGCAUGAGUAAUUCCGGGCAAAGCAAGAGGUAUGGUGUCUGUGCCUUUGACAAGGCCCUUUCAUUUGCAUAAAGCUGGUCCCCGAAAUAGAGGCUGGAACUAUAGGAAAGGCCAAGAAAGUGUGAUGUGGAACACAAGAGGGUUCUGAUGCAUCUCCCGUCUCUAAGCCAUCCAUCCCACAUUCUAUGCCAGAUUCAUCUAAAACCUGCUAGCGGUUACAUAUUAUUUACAAAAAAAAGGCCAACUCUUCAAUAUGACAGUCAAGCCCUGACCCACCACUUUUACAUUACUCCCUCACUUGCAUCCGCACUUCCCGAGAUUAGAGAACACAGUGUGUCUCUCUGAGUCAUCUACAUCAAUAUAGCAUUUAAGAGAGAUUUGUGAACUACAUGGCUGUAGUGAUCCACGUGCUAUAUAAAUCAGUAUACAUGUAAUACUUAAGUAAUAUAUCCAUCAUUACCGCAGUGCUUCUUAACUUCAUCCAGAGAAAUACUUUAAAGGACUGCAUUAGACAUGUCAGUCGGGAUGUGUGCCAUGCUCACAAUCAUUUCUCAGAAAAACUUCCCUGUGCACUGCUAGCAUAGCUUUGGCUGCCACAUCAUGUACCAUGUAACCCAAGAGUGGGCACCUCCUCCAAGGCAGGUUAUUCCAAGUGCAAACUCAAUGAGAGAGAGGAAUUUGAGAAGGUUUCCAAGGUUCUGAUUUGACUAACUGGCUGAAAAAUGUUACAUUGACCACAUUGCACAGGAAUCGAGUGUGAAGACUUGUUUGGGUUUGUGUUACCCAUAGAAACCUAGGCAAAGACCUUCAAGAGACAGAGGAAUAUAGGGUUUCAGACUCAAGAGAGUCACCAGCCUAUAUAGAAGGGGCUUGAAAAAAAAUGGAAAUGGGUAAAAUGAGUGAAGGAGAAAGAUAAGAAAGAGGAAGAGGAGCCAAAGAUAGACUUUUGAGUAAUACCAGCAUUUGGAAGGUAGCUGGAGUCAACAGGAGUCCAUGAGGAAAAUCAUGACUGAUGUGCCUCGUGAAGUAGUUAAUUGUAUCCAACAGUAGAGAAAUAGUUGGAUAAAUUACAAUAAAAUAUUAAAUAGUCAUUAACAGUGAUAGUUCAACAAAAUCUUUUUUUUAUUUUUGUGAGGAAGAUUAGCCCUGAGCUAACAUCUGCCACCAAUCCUCCUCUUUUUGCUGAGGAAGAUUGGCCCUGAGCUAACAUCCAUACCCAUCUUCCUCUACUUUAUAUGUGGGAUGCCUACCACAGCAUGG
rnacentral:lncRNA from 1 species